GCGCAGCGAUACGUAGAACCGUUUGCAGAUCAGCCUGUGGCGCAGCAGUGUCCCUUGGAACAGAUAGAGCCUGCGGUCUUUAGACGAACAAUUGUCGGUUGCGUCUGCCGUUGCCAAUCCAUAGGUGACCUAACAGCAGUAAUGAGUAGCAAUGAAUGCUUCAAAUGUGGGCGCUCUGGCCACUGGGCUCGGGAAUGUCCUACUGGAGGAGGUCGUGGUCGUGGAAUGAGGAGCCGUGGCAGAGUUGGAUUUACUUCUGCAAGAGGUUUCCAAUUUGUUUCUUCAUCUCUUCCAGACGCCUGUUACCGAUGUGGGGAGUCUGGUCAUCUUGCAAAAGAUUGUGAUCUUCAGGAAGAUGCCUGCUAUAACUGCGGUAGAGGUGGCCACAUUGCCAAGGACUGCAAAGAGCCCAAAAGAGAGAGAGAGCAGUGCUGUUACAACUGUGGCAAACCUGGCCACCUGGCUCGUGACUGUGACCAUGCCGAUGAGCAAAAGUGCUAUUCAUGUGGAGAGUUUGGACACAUUCAGAAAGAUUGCACCAAAGUCAAGUGCUAUAGCCAUGCAUUUAUCCUCAAGGGGCUGAAUAGCUGAAUGACCAAGAGGCCAGUUCUCAAACCACAGCCUCCAGCCUGCAGUCUUUCCAAAGACAAACAGAUGAAGAAUUUACUGAGUGAAAAGCCCCAAUAUUUGCUUACUUGUGUGUUCAACUCCCUGCUAUAGUAGGAGCAGAAGUGGCAAGGGUGUGGUGAAACUGGUCACGUAGCCAUCAACUGCAGCAAGACAAGUGAAGUUAACUGUUAUCGCUGUGGCGAGUCAGGGCAUCUUGCCCGGGAAUGCACAAUAGGGGCUACAGCUUAAUUAUUUUCCUGUUCAGCUUCUGCUUCUGAUUGGUUAUAUCUUAAUUGUAUCAUAAUUGUCAAAAACCUGUUUACAAGAUGCUAUUCUUUGGUCAAAGGGUUUUUACCUACCAUGUAAACAUAAAUGGGUGGAAAACUCAAAAUUUCAUCUUUUAACUGCAAAAAAAAUACGUUUUAGUGGUUAGAAAUGUAAUAGGUUUUUUUUUUAAGUUAAAGAUCCUCUUCUCUAAGUCAUUGUUAAAAGAGAUGAAUGGGAAAAAUAGACUAAUAUAGCAUUUUGUAAUGCCUCGAAUGUGACCCUAUUCAGAAGGGAAAAACCUAUUCUGGAAAUGUUAGAACAUCCAAAAAUGAGUUUGGAUAAUAAUGGCUUUUUAAAAAAUGUAGUAUUUGUUAAACGCAAAUUGAAUGCAGAGAAGCAGCAUGAGGUAGUGGAUAGAGCA